rnacentral:rRNA from 1 species
GACGAACGCUGGCGGCGUGCUUAACACAUGCAAGUCGAACGGAAAGGCCCUGCUUGCAGGGUACUCGAGUGGCGAACGGGUGAGUAACACGUGUGUGAUCUGCCCUGCACUUCGGGAUAAGCCUGGGAAACUGGGUCUAAUACCGGAUAGGAGCCAUUUUUAGUGUGCUGGUUGGAAAGCUUUUUCGGUGUAGGAUGAGCUCGCGGCCUAUCAGCUUGUUGGUGGGGUAAUGGCCUACCAAGGCGGCGACGGGUAGCCGGCCUGAGAGGGUGGACGGCCACAUUGGGACUGAGAUACGGCCCAGACUCCUACGGGAGGCAGCAGUGGGGAAUAUUGCACAAUGGGAGCAAGCCUGAUGCAGCGACGCCGCGUGGGGGAUGACGGCCUUCGGGUUGUAAACUCAUUUCGCUAGGGACGAAGCUUUUUGUGACGGUACCUAGAUAAGAAGCACCGGCUAACUACGUG